UAAAAUAUCAGAAGACUCGAAAUGAUAAAUAAAUAUUUUGAAAUAGAAAUAAUAGUAAAUAUAAUUAACCAAUUACAGGUUAUACCUUAGAAUAUAUAAUUAAUGCAUAUAUAUGCAUAGAAUCUUUAUAUUUAUAGGAAUUAUUUAUGCCAUCAAUAUUUUUUUUUGUAAUGGCAAUCAUUUAUUGACAGGUUUGUAAAAUCCCUAAUCUUUCAAAGUCGUCCAGUUUUUUGCCGUUGUUUUGUUUUGGAUUGUAGUUUGUAACUUCAUCUCAACAAUUUAGCAAUUAUCUGGCCAUUUUUACGUUGAGUUGAGCAACUGCUUCUCCGUUCUCUAUCUGUUGAUACUACUUUCGCGAAAGGACGCUUUAUUAAUUGUGUUGUGUGUACGUGUUUUAUUGAAAAUGACGAGUUUGCAAUGCAUCAAUUGCUAUGUUCGCUUAUCCCGAAGAAGAAGACACGCUUUAUUCAAUGACGGUGAAGAUAUCGUCAACACUGUUCGUCUGUGGACAUAUCUUAGAGAUGUAAGUAGUUUCCACAUAACAUUGUGUGUACGAAUGGGCCAUAGUUACGAACUUCAAUAACUUUUACGUGUGAUAUCACACUAAAUAAACACAUAAGUAAUCGGUAACAUGUAUUAUUUACUUGCCUUACUUGGUUUGCAUAACACUGUUAUAAUUUAUUAGUACCUAUUAUUUUGUUUAAUGGUGAGCCAUACUCAAAAUCAUUUAAUUAUUUCUAGAUUACACCAGAUGACCAUGUUUACCAUGAAUGCUGGCAGCUAGCUAGUCAUUCAUGUUCUUCUGAUAAUAUGCCGAGAAGACACAUAGGACAUCAGUGUUUGUGUUGUAUGUGGACAAUCCAUACUAAGAACCAGGCAAUGCAGAAUUUUGAUUGAAGAAGAACAAAGAACGGCUUACACAAUGGCUACUUGGAUCUAACCACAACAGCUUCAUCCUGAAGAUAAAGCUUGUGUGCGGUGUUGGUUAAAAGUGAGAACUAAGGAUACUUCACUAAAUGAAGAUAUUCAAUCCGUUAAACCUAAUCAGCAGGAAAGUGAUAAUUCUGAACUGAUGUGUGCUGCAUGUGGUCAAAGUCUUACUCCCAACAACACUGCUUGUUUGUUGGAGCACCAGCAGACACCUUCGAUGAAUGAAGUUUGUGAAGUUUGCUGGGGCCAAGUAUGCAAUUUGAGCUUCUAUGUUCCAGAUGGUCUAUGUUGCUCCAAGCUAAAAUAAAGCCCUGCCACUCUUCUCCUAGAACUUAUUUUGUUUUCAUAGUUGCAGAAACAAAUAUAAAUAGCCGGGACACAAUCAAAAGUGAUUGCUGUAAUUGUAUUGUAGGUUUAAGAACAGUGGGAUGCUGCUCACAUAUUAUGAUGAGCAUUCUUUGGUAUUUGAGUUAUGCUUGCUAUGAGGGUAUGACCCGACCUGCCCCUUUCUUGGAUGAAGUAAUAUUAAGAAACAAUCAAGUAAUUAUAAGAAAAUAAAGUAAAUGUAUUCCUACAAAAACUAAGUUGCUUUAUUUACCUACACUCAAAACUUCAUCAGCACUUAAUCAUUAUCAAACUAUUGUAGACUGCUGCUGGACAUAGGUCACUCCUUAAGCACCCUACUGAAUGGGUAAAUUCUCAUGUCAAUUUAUCAACUUCCUACAUUCUUUUUCACUUAAACAAUGUUUAUGUGCUUAGUGCUUA